rnacentral:rRNA from 1 species
GAAAGAUGAAAAGAACUUUGAAAAGAGAGUUAAACAGUACGUGAAAUUGUUGAAAGGGAAACGAUUGAAGCCAGUCGUACCUUCGGGUAAUCAGCCUUUCGGGUGCGAUUCUGUGGAGUUUGAGGAGCUUAACACCUUCAUGCUUUGCAUAUUCGUGCUCUUGGGUGUACUUGCCCGUGUGGUUGGUUAACAUCAAUUUCGGGCACCAUAAAAUGACUGGAGGAAUGUAGCUUCGAUCUUGUAUUGAAGUGUUAUA